GUUUUAUGUCUAAAUACAACUUUAAAAUCACUCUUCGGACGGAGUACUUCUGAGAAAUGAUUGCACUUUUAAAGCUGUUUGAAGGUGUGAAAACGUUCAAGCCAUCCGCCACGACAGAGGCCUUGUGGACAUUAGAUCUCAGGUCUCCCUCUGACCUGCAGCGGGAGCCUCCUCCGUUGACCUUUCCUGGAUGAUGACAGGGGCCCUCAGCCACCUCUUCCUGCCCUCUAUUUCUUGUAAAGCAAAAUCGUGAGCCUGCUGGCCUGCCAAGCCUGAGAUCUACGUUUGAAGUUAUUUGAGAAUUGGCAUUCCACCAAGUACUGAAAGGCCCAUUGUCCAAUUUCUAAAGAGAAGCAGCAUUUGAGGAUUUUGAAUCAUUCUGCUCUGCUUCUAAAGAAAAGGUGCAUCAAAGAUCUUCAUGAGGCAGCUGGAACUUGCAGUGGAGCGAAUCCUCCAGGCAUGGGUUCCUCUCCCUACCCGACCUGUGGGACAUCUGCUCGUGUCUUUUAUGUUGUUGAAAGGCUUCCACUGCUGGGACACCUUUUGGCUCUGUGCCACCUGACCAAUCUAGCCCACUUUUCACGGCGUCCAAGGGGGGUUGGGGAGAAUGGAGGGUGGUAUUUGGAAUUAGCAGCAAGGAGGAACCUGGUCACGUCCAUGUGUCCAAUUUUCAUUAAGUCAAGGGGGUGGACACCAGAUGUCAGAGACUCAGGCAACCAGAUGUCCAAGUUCCUGGCCUUCCAAGGUCCUUAUUUACAAAUCCAGGUAAGGAUGAUUUAAGCUUCCGUAUAAGUAUAAUUUUACACUUUUGUGAGGGUGCCCUUCUUCAAGUUCUUGGGCAUCUAUCUCUGAGGAAGGCAUACUCCUCAAAUUCAUGCUGCUGCACUGGUUGUCACUCAUCCCCUUGGACAGCCAUUCUGCUCCAGACCACUGCAGAUCACUUUAAGAAACCAGUAUUUCCUACCCAGAUUUUCCCCAUGUGUGUUAACAGAGGCACCUGCCUAAACUCGCAAAGCACCCCUAAAACCAAGCUAUGUAUAGCAUUGAACAAAACUUCCUAAAGACUUGAGGACAGAAAGAGGAAUUAUAAUGAGAAAAGGAGAGUGUUAAUCCUAUAAAUCGGCCAUCUCUGAUCCAAAGGAGGCAGUGGCAUGGCUAAAGAAGUGGACAGCCUGGGUGAAAGGUGAGCCGUGAUGGGUAUUGAAACUCUCUGGGUUUCAGAGGGUACCCAGCACACAAAAAUAUCUUGGAAACUAACUGAGUCACCGUUAAGCAGUAUACCUAGUAAGCAUCCAAUCGCUGUUUCCUGUUAGAAUUAUCAUAACCAUUCUCGUCACUGCUCUCCAGUACCUAGCCUGCCCUCCCACUCUAGGGAUUAACCCACCUCCUGGGAUUUCAUUGUCAUUGCUCUUCCCCCAAGUACACAUCUCCAAUUUUGUCUGGGACUUAGAGAUUGGAGAAAAAUGGUUUUUGCCCCGUAAUAAACUAAUCGGCCCUCUGCCCAAAACAAAAACUUCAUUGUUUAAUGUAGAUCAGUUAAGUUCUUUAUGAAUUGUAUCCCUCAAUAACGGAAUAGGAUUUUUAUUUUGCUCUGCAAACCACAAGUUCCAAUAAAGUAUUUUCUCCUAAAAAGAGGUAUCAUCUUUGUGGGCAAAAAAGUAGAUAGACAGUAAAAUAAAUCGGCAAAAAAAUGCAUAGUUACUGAUUAAGAAGAAUGCGAUGGGCAGUUUUUUGGAGUCAAAAAUAAGCAGGGGUGGCUGGCCCAGUGGUGUAGUGGUUGAGUUCACAUGCUCUGCUUUGGCAGUCCAGGGUUCAUGGGUUCAGAUCCUGGGCAUGGAGCUACACACUGCUCAUCAAGCCAUGCCAUGGCAGCGUCCCACAUACAAAAUAGAGGAAGAUUGGCACAGAUGUUAGCUCAGGGACAAUCUUCCUCAGGCAAAAUGAGGAAGAUUGGCAACAGAUGUUACCUCAUGGCUAAUCUUCCUCACCAAAAAAAAUAAAUAUAUAGAUAACAAUCAUAAAAAUCAGGGGGACCUACUUCAGAUUAUUUGGUUAGGAAAGGCCUCUUUGAAGAGAUGGCAUUUAAAGAGAGACCUAAGGAAUGAGAAGAAACCAGCUGGGCAAAGAGUUGAAAAAGUAUUGCUCCCUGGAGAACAACAUUCUCCCUUUCUUCCCUCCAAUUUUGUGUUUUGAUAGUUAGCACAGGUACUUUUAUGUAGGGAACCUCAAUUUCCCUAGAACCUGAGAUGAGUAACAGUUGGUUUUAACCCAUCGUGGUAAUGCUAAUCACCUUCAGUGAUUGGUGGGUGUGAGACUAUGUUCGGGCAAAUGAGGCCAUAAGCAGAUAUAUGAUAGAAAGCUUCUGUGAGAACUUUGUUUCUUUUUAAAAGGAGAAAAUUAGAGAGGAGAGCUCCCUCUCACUACCCUUUCCCUCUUCUUGCCUUCAGUGUAGAAGUGACGCAUGGAGCUGUGGUAAGUAUUUUGAGACUGUGAAGCAACAAGCAAAUAUGCUAUAUACGGCUGAACAGAAAAAUACAAACAAGAUACAUCCUUGGUGAACUUAUUGAGUCCUUAGACAGCCCUGAGAUCUGCUGCCAGACUUCAUCCAAUGUGAGAAAAAUAAAGCACUAUUCAUUUAAGUAAUUGUUAAAUUUUUCUAUUAUUUGCAAAGAGGUGGCAUGAUCAUAUUUUUAAGAAGAUCGUUCUUAAGACGAAUCCUGCUGUUUGGGGAUCUUUUAAGAAGACCCUAGUGUUACAGAGUCAUGCAGAG
rnacentral:lncRNA from 1 species